UACGUAGGGGGCUAGCGUUGUCCGGAAUCAUUGGGAGUAAAGCGCGUGUAGGCGGCCCGAUAAGUCCGCUGUGAAAGUCCAGGGCUCAACCCUGGGAUGCCGGUGGAUACUGUCGGGCUCGAGUCCGGAAGAGGCGAGUGGAAUUCCUGGUGUAGCGGUGAAAUGCGCAGAUAUCAGGAGGAACACCAAUAGCGAAGGCAGCUCGCUGGGACGUUACUGACACUGAGGCGCGAAAGCGUGGGGAGCGAACAGG
rnacentral:rRNA from 1 species